ACGAGCAUUAAAUUAAAAGAGAAAUAAACGAAAUUACCGAAAAGAUCUCAAAACACGAGCUUCGUCGAACGGGUUACACAAAUUAAACCUUUUUUUUCUUUUUUCCUUUUUUAUUUCUUCUUUUUCUUUUCUUUUUUUCUCUCUGCUGGGCCGGCCAGUUGGGCCUGCUUCUGCUGGGCUGGUGCGUGUGGGCCUAGCCUGCUGGUGCUGGCCUGCUGGGCUACACUGGGCCUGGGCUGGUGCGCAAAUGGGCCGGCUGUUGGCCUGCUACCUUUUUUUUUGCUUUCUUCUUCUUCUUUUUUCCUUUUGGGCUGCUCUUCGGGCCUGUUGAGCUGGGCUGCUGCUGGGUCGGGUUGGGUCACCUGAUCGGGUCGGGUUGGACCUGGAUCGGGUCGGGUCGGCCUGAUUUUUUUAAAAAAAAUUCUUUUUCUUUUUCUUUUUCUUUUUCUUUUUCUUUUUCUUUUUUCUUCUUUUUUCUUUCCCUAUUUUUUUUCUUGUUCCUUCUUCCUUCUUCUUCUUUUUUCUUCUCCUUCGACAGUAGCCCCUUGUGUUGCCGAUGCCGCCUUGCUGCCCGGCGGUGUAAGGCAACGGUGGUGCUCCUCCUUCUCCCCUUUCUUCUCUUUUUUCCUCAGUUUUUUUUCUCUUGCUGUUUUUUAUUCUUUUCUUUGUUGCUUGGCUUGUUUGGGUUGUAGGUAAUGGUGGUAGAGGUGUCACGGUGGCAGUGCGGCGGCGAUGGUUGCGGGAGGAGGUUUUGGGUUGCUAUUUUUUGAAUAUUUUACUGCUAUUUUUUUUUGCUGCCAAAACUGAACCCCCCUCUCUUCCUCUCAUCUUCUUCUUUUAAAUCCUUCAAUUUUGUCUUCUUUCCUUUGUUUUCAGGCGGUAGGGGAGCAUCAUUGGCCUAGGGAGGCUGCUGGAGUAGCUAGAGGUGGGUGGAGCACGCUUGGCUGCCGACUGGCAGAUUUGACAUGUCCAGGAGGACCAAAUUGUAAAGGUGUAAAGUUUUCGGGGUAAAAAUGUAAUUUUAGAAAAAUAUGGGGCUAAAAUGUAAUUUUUAGAAAUUUUAGGGGUCUGAAUGUAAUUUAUAUUUUUUGUAUUUUUUUCUGAUUUAUUAUUUUUUUAUUAAUAUUUUUAAAACAUAAAAAACAAAAUAAAACAAUGGGCCAAAGCCCAAACAAGUCCAAAAUUAAAUUAUUUAAAACCCAAUUAUCCAACCCUACCUGCCCACCCAUUGGGC
rnacentral:lncRNA from 1 species